UACAGAGGGGGCAAGCGUUAUUCGGAAUUAUUGGGCGUAAAGGGCGCGUAGGCGGCCUGACAAGUGGAAGGUGAAAUCCCUCGGCUUAACCGAGGAACUGCCCUCCAAACUGUUUGGCUUGAGACCGGGAGAGGUGAGUGGAAUUCCCAGUGUAGAGGUGAAAUUCGUAGAUAUUAGGAAGAACACCAGUGGCGAAGGCGGCUCACUGGCCCGGUACUGACGCUGAGGCGCGAAAGCGUGGGGAGCAAACAGG
rnacentral:rRNA from 1 species